AAUCAACGCUGGCGGCGUGCCUAACACAUGCAAGUCGAACGAGAAAGAGGGGGGCAACCCCUUGAGUGAAGUGGCGACCGGGUGAGUAACACGUGACUAACCUACCUUUCAGUGGGGAAUAACCUCGGGAAACCGGGGCUAAUACCGCAUAACAUCCUGUGGUUGAGAUACCGUUGGAUCAAAGGAGCAAUUCGCUGAUAGAGGGGGUCGCGGCAGAUUAGCUAGUUGGCGGGGUAAUGGCCCACCAAGGCACUGAUCUGUAGCCGGCCUGAGAGGGCGCACGGCCACACUGGAACUGAAACACGGUCCAGACUCCUACGGGAGGCAGCAGUGGGGAAUUUUGCGCAAGUGGGGAAACCCUGACGCAGCAACGCCGCGUGGAGGAUGAAGGUCUUUGGAUUGUAAACUCCGUUUCGA
rnacentral:rRNA from 1 species